rnacentral:lncRNA from 1 species
CGAGAUAUAAUUUAUGGAAAAUAGUUAGAGCACUACAGUAUGCUACACUAACAAGGCCUGAAAUUUCUUACUCCGUAAACAAAGUAUGUCAAUUCCUUGCCAAUCCUCUUGAAGACCAUUGGAAAGCUGUAAAAAGGAUACUUAGAUAUCUCAGUGGCACUACUAAUCAUGGUCUUUUACUACAAGCUGCUCUUAUUAAUCAACCUCUAUCUCUUAUUGGAUUUUGUGAUGCUGACUGGGCAUCUGACCCAGAUGAUAGGAGAUCUACUUCAGGAGCUUGUAUAUAUGUUGGGCCUAAUCUUGUUUCAACAUAAUAUUAACAUAAUAAUGAGCUUUGAGGUGAAAAGUUCAUCAUACACAACUUCUUAUAAUGAUUCUAUCAUAUCACAUGCAUAAAAAUUGGGGAUAACUAGAUUAUCAUACAUGUGUAAUAUCCUUCAAAAUAGAAUUUGAAGAACAUUAGUAGUACAAUGGGAAUCUAAUACUCCAAUUUGUCAUUGUAUCUAAACCUAUAGUGAACAAUUAGUUCUAAAUAGGCCAAACUUAAAAUGGGUAGGCUAACCUAAAGGAACCCAACUCAAAUUUGCCGAUAAAAUGGUUAUGAUUCGCUAAUCCCAACUUCAAGCUUCUAGUUCCAGCCUCGUUCUUCUAUCCUUUCCGAUACCAAGUCUUCAACUCCAACCCCGAUUCUAACUCCUCUGCUGCAAUGUGUCAAUAACAGUUCCAGGAUUCGACGAAAAGUGAAAUCCUCAACUAGAACAAACGAAAGCCGAAACCAGUUUUUCUGCACAAACAUAGCAACAAUACCUCAACUUUCGCAAUUUAAUUAAAAUAUCAAACGAUCUCCAUUUUAAGUAAACGACCACUCUUUGAAAAGCUAAGGAUGUCAAGAUUACAAAUAUAAUUUUUGUUUUGAUAGUUAACCAACCAAUUGGUCUAGUUUAACAAAAGUGUCGGUGCUGGUAUGAAAACAGGGCAUGAUAAUUUAUCAAUCUUGCAAACAGAAUUCCUCUUGUUAUACAAAUCUCAUAAUUCCAGUGACCGUUUCAUGUCAAUUUCUGUCUUCUUUCCAAUGGUUUUGGUUUUGUGUCAAAACGAUUUAUGUAACGAAACUUAUGCUCCGGGUUUGACAGAAAUUUCUACUACUUUCAUGUACACUUGUGGAAUCAAACAUGUAUAAGUCUAUUAAUGAUAAAACCAGACAAUUUUAACUUAUAAAAUCCCCUUUUCCAUCAUUUAGGGUCCUAGGGUUUGGUACAAAAGAGAAAGAACACAGAUGAAUGGUUUGAAUCAUCUUACCUUAAACUUCUGGACAUCUUCUGCAGCAAAGCAGGAAAAGCAGGAAGUGGCAGUGUGGAUUUAGUUGAAUCCAAAGGAAACAACCGGAAAGAAAAUGCGAUGGUGGUUCAAUCACGAACAAGUUCUUACAGCCGUAUCAAAGAAGAAGCAACUUUGGGUUAAGCAACUAUGUAACUGUGUUGGGAGGGACCAAAUGUCUUCAUUUUGAAAAAU